AAAAAAAAAGGGGAAAAAGUCAUUUGCCUCAUUGAACUUAAAUUUCUGCCCCACCCUUUUCUUUUUCCAGGAUAGGUACAUGCAGAACAGACUUGUCAGACUUGUUUGUGUUUUCCUUCAAAGUUUGAUCCGGAACAAAAUCAUUAACGUUCAUGACAUCUUUAUUGAAGUUCAAGCAUUCUGCAUUGAGUUCUCACGGAUUAGGGAAGCAGCAGGAUUGUUUAGGCUUCUGAAAACCUUGGAAUAGACUACCCUCCGUUAUUAAUCUUUUGGAACGUUCUGAUGAACUUGUAUUUUUCCUUGCAUUACAUUUUAACUUUAGUUUUCCCUACUAUUUGUUUUCAAUGUAGGUAAACAGCUAGGUGUUUAUAGGGAUUACAGGUAGUAGCUUAGCCUUGUUGAUUUUCUUAUCUGUCAUAAAGAAGAUUUACAAUAAAGAAGAUGGCAAGGGACAAGUCUAUUAAGGUGUUUCCAAAUGCUUCCUAUUGGUAUAAAAAUAGACGCCCGUUUAUUUUU